AAAAGAUAUCAACUGAAAUCAAUUAUAAGGCUCUUAAAAAUAUUGUGCUUGCCGUCGAUGGGUCUUUCAAGAUCAUCUUCCUUCCAUGGAGCGGCAUUAUCUGUCACUUAGCAUUGAGGUUUCCCUAGUUCAAGAUUGUUAUUAGUGUCUGGCUUUUUGAUUUAGUUUUCUUUCUUCAUCAUAGAGAUGUCCUUAUUGAUUUGUUAUCGAUAGUGCUGUUAUAUUAAAAUUUUCAACUACGAUAAUUCUUUUCACAAAUAUAUUUUUAGCUUUUAGUCCAGAUGCUUUUAUUUGGUGAUCCAACUGAUGAGGUCUCUUAUGGGUGGUGUGCACAUCUGGUGACCCUUGUAACUUUGCCUGUUAAAUCAGCUGGUCCCAAGCCUGGACUACGGAGGAGGGAAGGAUGAUUGCUGUUUAAUUAAGAGAAAUGUUCCUGGAGUUGCCUUUGAUCAUUUUUCCUUAUUUGUUUGACCAAUUUAAUUGAAACAUGUGCAUCUUAUUUAGUGGUGUUCUCUCUUUAUCUUAUGGCAUCUGUGAUUAUAAUCAUCAUUUAUCAAGAAUUUGCAUGGUGGUUAGAUAAAAAUGUCGAGAGACGCAUUAGGGGCUUGUCAACCUGAGUGCAAGGUGUUCUCUCUUAACAUGCAAUUGGUAGUAUGAAAUUCUGGUAAAUAAUUUCUUGCUCUUGUGAGAAAAAUUCCCAAUGUUUUUGAUAAGUUGAGGCAUUGUAAUCUUGCAGCUGUUAUGAUUUAUUUAUGAGCCACCUUAACGCUGGAAAUACUGUUCACUUAUUGGUGUCUCUAGCUAUGUUCCAACUUAAUGUUCAACUAGAGAUUCAUGUUAAUCCUGGCAGUGUAUGUAUGUACCAUGCAGUGUUAUUCAAGAA